UGGAUGGCUGUUUGCUUGCGCACCAACGUCCACGCUGCAUACCUCUUCAGUUUUGCAUCAAGACAUGAUUUGUCUUGAGCAUAUUGUGGGUUAUCUGUGUUGCAUACCUAAUUGAUGGUAACGUGUGGGUUUUACGAUUUCUCUUUUCGUCAUGUGUCGUUCAUGCGGCGUGGGAUGAACAAUGAAGCGGUCUUUGUGAUCCACCAUGCUGUUGUUUUGCAACAGUGAUGUGGCCUAUAAAGCAUCGUUUGGUCUCUUG
rnacentral:misc_RNA from 1 species